AGUGAACGCUGGCGGUAUGCCUAACACAUGCAAGUCGAACGGCAGCACAGUAAGAGCCUGCUCUUACGGUUGGCGAGUGGCGGACGGGUGACGAAUACAUCGGAAUCUACUUUUUCUUGGGUGAUAACGUAGGGAAACUUACGCUAAUACCUCAUACGACCUACGGGUUAGAUCAGGAGAUCUUCGGACCUUUCGCGAUUGAAUUAGCCGAUGUCGGAUUAGCUAGUUGGCGGGGUAAAGGCCCACCAAGGCGACGAUCCGUAGCUGGGCUGAGAGGAUGAUCAGCCCAAAGGGACUUGGGCAACGGCCCCAAUCCUAACGGGGGGCAGAAGAGGGGAACUUUGGAAAAUGGGGGAAAGCCUGAGGCAGCCAUCCCGCGUGGGUGAAGAAGGCCUUCGGGUUGUAAAGCCCUUUUGUUGGGAAAGAAAAGCAGCAGGUUAAUUCCCCGCUGUUCUGACGGUACCAAAAGAAUAAGCACCGGCGAACUUCGU
rnacentral:rRNA from 1 species